UACGUAGGGUGCAAGCGUUGUCCGGAAUUAUUGGGCGUAAAGAGCACGUAGGCGGUUUGUCGCGUCUGCUGUGAAAACCCGAGGCUCAACCUCGGGCCUGCAGUGGGUACGGGCAGACUAGAGUGCGGUAGGGGAGAUUGGAAUUCCUAGUGUAGCGGUGGAAUGCGCAGAUAUCAGGAGGAACACCAAUGGCGAAGGCAGAUCUCUGGGCCGUAACUGACGCUGAGGAGCGAAAGCAUGGGGAGCGAACAGG
rnacentral:rRNA from 1 species